UAGGGAAUCUUCCACAAUGGACGAAAGUCUGAUGGAGCAACGCCGCGUGUGUGAUGAAGGGUUUCGGCUCGUAAAACACUGUUGUAAGAGAAGAAUAGCAUUGAGAGUAACUGCUCAGUGUCUGACGGUAUCUUACCAGAAAGGAACGGCUAAAUACGUGCCAGCAGCCGCGGUAAUACGUAUGUUCCAAGCGUUAUCCGGAUUUAUUGGGCGUAAAGCGAGCGCAGACGGUUAUUUAAGUCCGAAGUGAAAGCCCACAGCUUAACUGUGGAAGUGCUUUGGAAACUGGAUAACUUGAGUGCAGUAGAGGAGAGUGGAAUUCCAUGUGUAGCGGUGAAAUGCGUAGAUAUAUGGAGGAACACCAGUGGCGAAGGCGGCUCUCUGGACUGUAACUGACGUUGAGGCUCGAAAGUGUGGGUAGCAAACAG
rnacentral:rRNA from 1 species